UCUUAGACCAGCUACCACUUACAUAUUGUCAACUUGCGUUUAUGACCAGAAUACAGAAAGGAGGCUUGUUGUACAUUCUCAGGAGCCUGACUCCUGAAGAGGCUAGGAAGAUGCUGCUGCUUCUAACCACAUUGUUUCCAUAGCAACUACAACCUGGUGGCAGGGACAGGAAUCUAUUUUCUCAUAGAUCCAGAAGGUAGAGAUUGAAUUAUUAGCUGGAUAGUUCCUUCCUAGGGUCAAGAGGGGAGAAUCUACCAUGGCUGUUGUCUUUACCUUGUAGACGGCCCCGAGCUUUAGAAGUCUCUUUGACUCUCAUCCCUCUUUGCAUAUCCGACCCAUUGUGAGUUUACCUGUCAUAUUAGAGAGUUAGGGCUCCCCCAGUGACCUCACUGAAGCCAGUUAUCUCUAUAAACACUGUUUUCAAAUAAGGUAAUAUGCUGAAGUACUAGGGGUGAGACUAUCAGCACAUGAAAUGUGGGGUGAUAUAAUUCAACCACACAUCUAUCCUUUCUACCCUACCCAGUCCAUUGAGCAUGUCCCCCUUGGCAAGAUGGGUAAUUGGCAGUGUGUCAUGACAACAGCUGUCCUCUCCUUUAGAUGCUUCCCCCCAUUUGGCUUCUUUACCCCUCCCCCCAAUUUAAACUAGCAUUUGGUUUUUACAUAAAUGUUUCCUUGGAUGUUGUGGGUGGUGUAUUUAUGUAUGGCAGAAAGCUAGGCAAGGACAUGAACACACACAUACACAUACAACAUGUGUGUAGGGGAGAGCUUUUCUUAUGUUUCUCUUUUCAGAGCUUCUGUUCACUGCAGUACAGUAUUUAAUUUGUGGGUUCUUGUCAUGUCUCCAGUUUCUACAGAAAUAAUUAAUCUUAUAUUCUUGCCUCAGGGUUUCCCUGAAGGAAACAUGCACAACACAACAAAGUUGUUGCUUAGUGUAAAGGCCGUCUCAUCUUGGAAACGACCCUACCAGACAUUUACAUUGGCCUGGGUCCACACACCCAUCCACGACAGCGGUCAUCUCCAUCCUGGACUCAAAUGACCCGCUUUGCAACUGAGCUCAUCCUGUUGCCCCAGGAAUGGUGACAAGGAAGGGCCCUGAGGGAAUGUCUUCUGAUGUCCCCAAAGGCUGGAGCUCCUGGGCUUGGUCACGCUCAUGAUGGAGACAGUCUGGUCGGUGUCCAACAGUUCAGAUGAUCACCAAGAAAUCUCAACCUUCAGAUAUUAUUUUCUGCAGGGGAAGGCUUUGUUCCCUGGCAACAUACUGGAGAAAUCUCUGCAGGGAAGGAAGCCAGUCAACACACAUCUCUUGGUUACACGUUAAUGGGGACAAGGAACAGCUUUUACAGAAAAUUGAUUUGGCCAGGAAAGAGACGAAGACCAUGUGACCAGGUCGGCAGGAAGGGAUGGGAGGGCUAGGAAUGGGCUCCCUUCAGAGGCCAGGAGUGGAGGAAACGACUAUUUGGUAACCAUGAAGAAAAGUUCUUUUCAUACUUUUGAAAAAUAUCUGCCUUUAUUAUGAACAUCUGGGAAACCUGAUGUGCAGCGUGUCCUUCUUAGUUCGUCUUCGGAGGGCAAAAAAUACAACCCUUAGAAACUGUAAGAUAAGCAUGUCAGAGGUUUUUAUACUGCUCAGUAGUUAAUUAAGCCAGCAAGAUGAUACAAUCAGUCUGAGGGAGACAGCAAAGAGCCGCACGUGAAUGCUAUGUGCCCAUGAAGAAGUCAGGAUCAUUUGUGGGUUUAAAAUAGUGGAGAUGAUGGAAGCAGAGUUGAGCGGUGACUGCUGGUGGCUGAGGAUGGGAGAGAGAGUUAACCCAUGGCCAUUAAGUUACACAGAGCCCAAUGACUGAAUUCUAAAGGUCUGCUUUUCAUCAUGGUGCCUCCAGCCAAUAAAAUAACCACACUGCACUUGGGAAGUUA